rnacentral:rRNA from 1 species
GACGAACGCUGGCGGCGUGCUUAACACAUGCAAGUCUAACGGUGAAGCGCCUUCCUUUUUGGUGGGUGUGGAUGAGUGGCGAACGGGUGAGUAACACGUGAGUAACCUGCCCCCUUCUUCUGGAUAACCGCAUGAAAGUGUGGCUAAUACGGGAUAUUCUGGGUCUGUCGCAUGAUGGGUCUGGGAAAGAUAUUGUUUCGGUGGGGGAUGGGCUCGCGGCCUAUCAGCUUGUUGGUGGGGUGAUGGCCUACCAAGGCGGUGACGGGUAGCCGGCCUGAGAGGGUGGACGGUCACACUGGGACUGAGACACGGCCCAGACUGCUACGGGAGGCAGCAGUGGGGAAUAUUGCACAAUGGGCGCAAGCCUGAUGCAGCGACGCCGCGUGAGGGAUGGAGGCCUUCGGGUUGUGAACCUCUUUCGCCAGUGAAGCAGGCCUGCCUCGUUUGUGGGUGGGUUGACGGUAGCUGGAUAAGAAGCGCCGGCUAACUACGUG